rnacentral:rRNA from 1 species
UGGGGAAUAUUGGACAAUGGGCGCAAGCCUGAUCCAGCCAUGCCGCGUGAGUGAUGAAGGCCCUAGGGUUGUAAAGCUCUUUCACCGGUGAAGAUAAUGACGGUAACCGGAGAAGAAGCCCCGGCUAACUUCGUGCCAGCAGCCGCGGUAAUACGAAGGGGGCUAGCGUUGUUCGGAUUUACUGGGCGUAAAGCGCACGUAGGCGGACUUUUAAGUCAGGGGUGAAAUCCCGGGGCUCAACCCCGGAACUGCCUUUGAUACUGGAAGUCUUGAGUAUGGUAGAGGUGAGUGGAAUUCCGAGUGUAGAGGUGAAAUGCGUAGAUAUUCGGAGGAACACCAGUAGCGAAGGCGGCUCACUGGACCAUUACUGACGCUGAGGUGCGAAAGCGUGGGGAGCAAACAGG